rnacentral:rRNA from 1 species
GGGGAUGGUCGCGCGGAUCUUCAGAGAUUAGAGUUUGAUCAUGGCUCAGGAUGAACGCUAGCGGCAGGCUUAACACAUGCAAGUCGAGGGGCAGCGGGGUGUAGCAAUACAUCGCCGGCGACCGGCGCACGGGUGCGUAACACGUAUGGAAUCUGCCCUGUACUGGGGAAUAGCCCUCCGAAAGGAGGAUUAAUACCCCGUAAUAGCUUGAGUGGCAUCACUCGGGUUUGAAAGCUCCGGCGGUACAGGAUGACCAUGCGCACGAUUAGCUAGUAGGUGAGGUAACGGCUCACCUAGGCUACGAUCGUUAGGGGGCCUGAGAGGGUUAUCCCCCACACUGGUACUGAGACACGGACCAGACUCCUACGGGAGGCAGCAGUGAGGAAUAUUGCGCAAUGGAGGAAACUCUGACGCAGCCAUGCCGCGUGCAGGAAGACGGCCCUACGGGUUGUAAACUGCUUUUAUCAGGGAAGAAACCCCGGGACGUGUCCCGGGUUGACGGUACCUGAGGAAUAAGCACCGGCUAACUCCGUGCCAGCAGCCGCGGUAAUACGGAGGGUGCAAGCGUUAUCCGGAUUCAUUGGGUUUAAAGGGUGCGUAGGCGAGGUGGUAAGUCAGUGGUGAAAUCCUGCAGCUUAACUGUAGAAUUGCCAUUGAUACUGCCAUUCUUGAGUGCGCUUGAAGUGGGCGGAAUGUGCCGUGUAGCGGUGAAAUGCUUAGAUAUGGCACAGAACACCAAUUGCGAAGGCAGCUCACUAAGGCGAUACUGACGCUGAGGCACGAAAGCGUGGGGAUCGAACAGGAUUAGAUACCCUGGUAGUCCACGCCGUAAACGAUGAUCACUCGUGAUUGGCGAUAUACGGUCAGUCACCUAGCGAAAGCGUUAAGUGAUCCACCUGGGGAGUACGGCCGCAAGGCUGAACUCAAAGGAAUUGACGGGGGCCCGCACAAGCGGUGGAGCAUGUGGUUUAAUUCGAUGAUACGCGAGGAACCUUACCAGGGCUCGAACGCACGACGAA